UUUUUAGUGGGUGUAAAUCAUAAAAAAAAUUAAAUUUUUUAAAAAAUUUUGUAAUAAUUUUUAAAGAUACUAAGAUCUCAGUGGGGGCAGCUGCCCCCAUUGUAGAUCCGUCCCUGUUUGGACUUAGUGCACGGAUCGUGAGAUAUACAUCAUCUUCCAGCCUACACUGGAGUUGUUGAAGAACCCCAUCUCUGCAAUUCUUAUCUUGGUGAUUAUGGGAGCUGUAUCUACAUCGUUUCCCAAAUACUUCCAGGCAUUAUUGGAGUAACAGAUUUUACUUACAGUUAUGGAUAUUAAUUUGACGGUUUUCAGCUUAAGAGGACGAAUUCUAGAUGUGCCUUAAUCCUCACCGGAGUAUUUGCAAGUGGCGACUAUCCAUGCUUGCCGACAUCUGGGGCUUUAAACGGUUCAUUGUGCAUGAAAAGAAGACCCAGAGAGUUGGAGACCUCUGCAUCAACUCUGUCCAGUUGAUGUUGCAAUUGUUUUUUUUUUUUCAAUAUCUUCUUUUGGAGAAUGUUUAGCGGUUAGCAGUGCAGGGGAAGAGAAAUCCAGCAUUAGAUUAUUCCUUUUUUCAUCCAAUAACUAAGUUAAAAAAUUAUAAGCUAAGUUAUUUUUUAUUACUACUAUAUACACAUAUUAGAAUAAAGUGGCAUAAUGUUAAACUAUAAUUAAGAAGCAUCCCUGGAUCAUAAGCAAUAAGCAAAAACCAGGUCAAUCAAAACUCAAAAAGUAAGCAAGCGAGAUAACGGGCGGUCUUAAUUAAAGGAAAAAUUUUAUAUGAAAUUUUAUAAAUGAAGUUU